GAGCUAUUUAGGCCAAUGAGUUUAUGCUUCUUCUGGAAUGAGCAGCAAUAGCUUCCUUGAAAACUGCCACAACCAUUUCUGUCGAACAGAGCUGUCACACCAGGAAAUGAAGUAAAUCCAAUGAACUUCAUAGUGAGAAACUUCGUCAUUAAGUUCCCAACAUAUCACCAGGGAGGAUCCAAGCAAAGAAGAAUUUAACCUUUGUGGCAAUUCAGCGGCUCUAUUUGUGAUGAAUGGACAAUAGAUGUAACCACCCCACUGAAUUUGAAAAUGAAGAAUUUGCUGAUUAGAAUUUCGUCUCAUGACUCCAGUAAAUGUAGGCUGCCGGUCCAAGGCCUCCCUCUACACAUGUUGACCAUCGACUAAGAGAACAUUUCCACGUCAUUCUCUCAGAAUGAAGUCUGCAGCUCCGGACGAUGGACUAAAUGUGGUUUGACUGUUUUUUUCUGCUUUUCCUGGUACAAUAAUAGACCAUGAAAAAUCACCCCAAAAUUAUUGAAGCUAAAGCUUUUUUCCAGUUUGGUUUAUAAGCUGGAGAAGAUGAGCAAUCAAUGAUACCUCUUCACCUUGCAAUAUCCAGAGGACACAGAAAGUGAAGUCCCCUGAAUCAAUUUUAUAGUCAAGAUAUUAACCUCUGUGGUCCUUUGCCCAGCAGAAAGAGUAAGCUGUUAAAAACACCGAAUCAGCCACUACUCACUUUUUUUAUGAUUAUGAGUGUGGUAACAGCUUCUCCUUCAGUUACAUGACUGGGGUUAUUUUGCUGUUAAAGUGCCAGACAGGGAGUAUACCCAAGACAAAUUUAGGUAUUAUCCCUUUGCAGAAAUUCCCUGAAAUAAGGGCAAUAACUUAUUAUGUGGAGUAUAGAUUUCAACUAAAAUUGAUUUCGAAUAAAAAUUUCAAUAUUAUCUGGCCUAAAGAAUUUGGA